CGGUUUGUACAUACCUAACUUAAUACGUUGACGCGCCGUGUCGUCAUUGUGGUGUCAAAUUAUUUUAUUAUAUUCCAGUUUAGCAAUUUUUAGCAGUGCACUUAGCAACGCGUACUUGUUAACACGCUAACAUUUGUGAACUUACAUAAUAAAGGUGCUCAAACA